GCCCCCCACCACGAUGCCGCCCCGGGCAACCGCCGUGUCGCCCGUAUCUAAAACCGCUACUGGUGCUAGGUCAAAAGUCACGGAGGAUUGCGGACUGGUGUGAACUUCAGUCAAUUCUGUUCAUUUUAGCAGAUCAGAUAGAGAGGGAUCAUUUACCUGUAGAUACUGUUUUGAGUCGUUUAGAUGAUGUUUCUGAAAUGCUUGGGAUGAUAAUUGCUCUUCAAGAUGUUAGCAUCGAAGGUUUCAGAUCAAUUCAGCACCGUGUUCAUUUGGAAUACGCCGAGGAGGAAGAGCAGUCUUCAAAUAUUGGUCGUCCACGUCUUGAAAUCCCGGUGGAGCACUCAGGACUUUAGUGCUGUCCGGGAUAACCAUCGGGGUUAUUGCCGAUAUGUUUUCUGUGUCUCCGAGUACAAUUAGGAGGAAAAUGACAGAGGAAGGUCUAAGAAAAUCUGAUAGGAAUUCUUCUAUUGGAGAUGUGGAUUUGGAUUCAAAAGUGCUGGACAUUCAGCGUCAUCACCCAAAUGCCGACUGCAGAAUGAUGAUGGGACAUCAGGCAUACACAUUCAAAGAUUUCGACUGAUGGAUUCAAUGAGACGAGUCAAUCCAGAAGAGGUCAAGAUGCGACGGUUAUCUAUUAAGACUGCAAGGCGUUUUCAGUACAGUGUACCAGCAGCAAAUCACCUUUGGCAUAUAGAUGGAAAUCAGCAUUGAGCACCUGUGGAGGGAUGUAUAUGAAAACAUCUUCACCCAGCUGGAGAUUCAAGGACUGCUCAACCCUGGUGAAAAAAUUCACUUGUUUGCUCUGCACAGAUGCUUUUUGCAUCACAUUCAACAUCGUCUUCAGUCAUUCCAGGAAGCAUGGAAUCAGCACGGACUCAGAAAAGCAAACAACCAUUCACCCCUGCACCUCUGGUUGCUGCACAGAAAGGAGAGACAAGAUUUGUCACAGGUUGAUGAGGAUUAUGGUGUGGACUGGACAGGACCACAUAAUCACCGCCCAUCAAAUGAGAUCACCAUUCCUGAGAUUCAGCUCCCACGUGCACUGAAUGAACGAGACCCUGCUGUGCUACCAAA